rnacentral:rRNA from 1 species
GCGGCCUUCUUUCCGGAGACCGCGGCUACUCUUAACUGAGCGGGCGUGGGAGACGGAUCGUUUACUUUGAAAAAAUCAGAGUGUUUCAAGCAGGCAGCUCGCUCUUGCAUGGUACAGCAUGGGAUGAUUGAAUAGGACUCCGGUGCUAUUUUGUUGGUUUCGAACACCAGGAGUAAUGAUUAACAGGGACAGUCAGGGGCACUCGUAUUCCGUCGAGAGAGGUGAAAUUCUCAGACCAAUGGAAGACGAACCACUGCGAAAGCAUUUGCCAGGGAUGUUUUCACUGAUCAAGAACGAAAGUUAGGGGAUCGAAGACGAUCAGAUACCGUCGUAGUCUUAACCAUAAACCAUGCCGACUAGGGAUUGGAGGGUGUUCGUUUC